GCCAUCACUGUUCUAGGUGCUUUACAAAUAGUAUCUCAAAGGGAAAAAAGUGUGAAAAAUGCCCUAGAGAGUAGAAGGUAAUUCAAAGGGAGACUCACAGAUGCAGAAUAGUUUUGAAGCUAAAAUAUUGAAUUUAUUAUUUUCUUUAAAACAAAAAAAUACCAACAGAGAUUCAUGGUUCAUUUAUAAUCUUCUUCUCAUCUUUAUAUGUGAGAAUAUUUGUUUAUUGACAUUUGUCAAGUUCAUAAUAAGAUUUAUAAACAAUAAUGACCACAGUACAAUAUUAUAGUCAGUGGUUAAAGACAGAGUAUGGAGCUUAGCUUUUGGACUCAAGAGAGGCAGAGUUGACAUUCUGUUGUGAAAGGAAAAACAUUAUAUUCUUGGUUAGAUGGAAAGACAUUUAACAGAGGUGCUUAUAAAUACAGCCAGCCUCUUUUUCUUUUCUCCCCAAGAAAGAAGGUUGAAAUCUCUCCAUUCUUAUACUGUUGAUGAUAUGAAACCCCUAAAUUCUAUAACGGAUAACAUGGAGGAGAAAAUGUCAGCUGGAAAAAUACUUAAGUUAGGUGUUACCAGAUGUCUGCCCCUUUCUAUUAAAGAAGGCUCCUCUAAACAGGAAACCUCUGAGGCAAAGAUGAAGAUGGGCAGGCAUCGGGGCCAUACCCAUCAAUUACACUGCCCUCCACUCUCCAUCCCCACAGGAUGCUCUAAAUAGCCACCUGGAUCCACUGAAAGAACCUUCUUCGCUCUAAUAUGCUGAGUCUUUGACCAUUAUGACAGUCUCAGGACCUAAGGAAGGAGAAGGGAUUCUAACUUCAGGCAGCAGGAAAAGGACAGGAGUCUGAACUUGAAGUCAAGUAGAAAAGUAACUGCACAAGAGCUUGAAAGGAAAGGGCAUACUAGAAGAGUUCCAGGCCCCAGGUCUAUGAUGUGAAGAUUUCUAUUCCACAGGAACAUCUGCUUCUCUGCCCCCAACAACUAUUCAAGAAGCCUUCAAUAGCCGAGAAAAUCAUAGGCUAUUGUAACUCAGUAAAGAAGAGGAAUGUUGGGGAAGAAAAGUCCCAUUUUGAUGGGGUCACAAUCUCUAGUCACCCUCUUUCCCUCCACUUCCAGGCUGCCUUUUUUAAGACACCCCCAACAAGUAAAUGAUAAUCUUGGGCAUGGGUGAGAGGUAGAAGUGGGAUUCAGUAAGGUAUAAUCACCUACCAGAGGUACACAUCUGUUGGUUUGGCACACAUUCUCCAAAGCAACAUAUGGAAGCUUUGCAGUACAGUUUUUUUGUUGUUGUUGGGGUUUUUUUUUCUCCCGGGUUUUUUUUGGUUCGGGGUUGUUUUUCUCUGACCUGGUACCUCAGGCAGAAAUCUCAGCUGAGACAGCUAAGCAGAUCCCUAAGUGGCUGUCAUAAAAUGUUACUAUAAUCCUGUGGAUCUUUUCCCUCUUAGAAUCUCUGCUGUUGUUAGCUGGAGUCUAAUUAGCAGAAGGCAGAUAACACAAGGCAGAUUCCAGAAAUAUGCAGACACAAUUUCUACAAGCUGGCUGCCUCCUUCUUAUUAUGUUAAUAAUGAAGAUAUUCCCAUUGUUACCUUGGGACUGCUUCCUUGAUAAAGACCAGUAGAAUGUGCCAGGUAUGCUGAAUAAACAAGUCACGGAGAGGGUGGUAAUGAUCUCA
ensembl:lncRNA